rnacentral:ribozyme from 1 species
AAUCAUUCAUAUAAAACAGGACCGACAUGAAAAAGUUUGAAUGGAAAAGAAAAGCUUUUUCUCUCUUGUUUAUCAUUUUCGUUUCUUUUUCUUUUUGAGGACGUCUUUCAUUUCUUUUCAUC